GACGAACGCUGGCGGCGUGCUUAACACAUGCAAGUCGAACGCGACGAUUGAAAGCUUGCUUUUAAAAGUCGAGUGGCAAACGGGCGAGUAGCGCGUAGACAACCUGCCUUUGAGAUGGGGACAACAGUUCGAAAGGACCGCUAAUACCGAAUGUUGUAUAUUUUCCACAUGGAAGAGAUAUUAAAGAUGGCCUCUAUUUAUAAGCUAUCGCCCAAAGAUGGGUCUGCGUCUGAUUAGGUAGUUGGUGGGGUAACGGCCUACCAAGGCGACGAUCAGUAGCCGGUCUGAGAGGAUGAACGGCCACAUUGGGACUGAGACACGGCCCAGACUCCUACGGGAGGCAGCAGUGGGGAAUCUUCCACAAUGGACGAAAGUCUGAUGGAGCAACGCCGCGUGAGUGAAGAAGGGUCUCGGCUCGUAAAGCUCUGUUGUCGGGGACGAAUGUGCAGUAUUUGAAUAAAGUACUGCAAUGACGGUACCUGACGAGGAAGCCACGGCUAACUACGUGCCAGCCGCCGCGGUAA
rnacentral:rRNA from 1 species